rnacentral:rRNA from 1 species
UACGGGCUGCUCCAGUGGGGAAUAUUGCGCAAUGGGGGAAACCCUGACGCAGCGACGCCGCGUGUAGGAAGAAGGCCUUCGGGUCGUAAACUACUGUCAGGAGGGAAGAAACUGUUAGGGUAUAAUACGCCCUUUCACUGACGGUACCUCCAGAGGAAGCACCGGCUAACUCCGUGCCAGCAGCCGCGGUAAUACGGAGGGUGCGAGCGUUAAUCGGAAUCACUGGGCGUAAAGCGUGCGUAGGCUGCAUGGCAAGUCAGACGUGAAAGCCCUCGGCUCAACCGAGGAAUUGCGUUUGAAACUGCCAUGCUAGAGUCUCGGAGAGGUUGGCGGAAUUCCAGGUGUAGGAGUGAAAUCCGUAGAUAUCUGGAGGAACACCGGCGGCGAAGGCGGCCAACUGGACGAGUACUGACGCUGAGGUACGAAAGCGUGGGUAGCAAACAGGAUUAGAUACCCUCGUAGUC